rnacentral:misc_RNA from 1 species
CUGACAACUGCCUAAAAGGAAGAGGAAAAAAAAAAUAGAGAAGAGAGAAAUGGCCAUUGGCAUAAGAGUAGAGUCUAUUUUAUCAAAACUAAAUGAGCUUGUCAGUCAAGAGGCAGAUCUUUUAAGUGGAGUUGAAGAGCAAGUGGAAUUCAUGGAAAAGGAAUUGAGGAUGAUGUAUGCAGUGCUACAGGAUGUGGAAGCCUCAGAAGGACUGAGUGAUUACUUGCUGCAUUGGAAUGAGAUAGUAGAGACUGCUAAUCUCAAUGCAGAUAAUGCAAUUGAGAAAUUCAUCACGUCAAGAGGGAACAAGAGUGGAUUAUUUGUUUUCCAACACUUGAUAGAUAGACAUCAAGUUGGAAUGCAGUUGAAUCGCAUCAAGGCCAGUAUUCGUGAGAUGCCCCAUGGCAGCAUAUGGGAUAAGAUGGUAGAGAAUGUUAAUCUCAAAGCAGAUAAUACUGUUGACAGUUUUUUCGCAUCAGCAGGGAGGACCAGUAGCCUACUUCUGUUUUUCCAACACUUGAUAGAGAGGAAUCAAGCCAUAAUGCAGUUGAAUCUCAUCAUGGCUAGCUUUCGUGAUAACGACAUGGGAAGAAGCAUUAAGGCAAUGCACAGUGUAGAUCACAUCAGCUACUGUGGUGAGUUUUUGAUCCUUGAAAGCAUAAGAGUCACAUGCUGCAGAAUUUUACUCCCAAUUUUCCUUGGGGAAAGAUAUGAGCAAGCUUUGUGGAAGUCAG